rnacentral:rRNA from 1 species
AUUGAACGCUGGCGGCAUGCUUUACACAUGCAAGUCGAACGGUAACAGGCCGCAAGGUGCUGACGAGUGGCGAACGGGUGAGUAAUGCAUCGGAACGUGCCCAGUCGUGGGGGAUAACGCAGCGAAAGCUGUGCUAAUACCGCAUACGAUCUGUGGAUGAAAGCGGGGGACCUUCGGGCCUCGCGCGAUUGGAGCGGCCGAUGUCAGAUUAGGUAGUUGGUGGGGUAAAGGCUCACCAAGCCAACGAUCUGUAGCUGGUCUGAGAGGACGACCAGCCACACUGGGACUGAGGCACGGCCCAGACUCCUACGGGAGGAAGCAGUGGGGAAUUUUGGACAAUGGGCGCAAGCCUGAUCCAGCAAUGCCGCGUGCAGGAAGAAGGCCUUCGGGUUGUAAACUGCUUUUGUACGGAGCGAAAAGGCUCCCUCUAAUACAGGGGGCUCAUGACGGUACCGUAAGAAUAAGCACCGGCUAACUACGUGCCAGCCGCCGCGGUAAAAC